GCCAGGUGGGAGGGAAGGUCAGCGUCUCGCUCAGGUUCUCUGAUCUAUUCAAUGUUCCAGCCCAAAUUGCAAGGCGAUUUGAAGAAGACUGACUGAUUUGCAAAGGCAGUGCUGCGCGCACUUGGGAUCACAUUUGGAACAUCUAUGAACCUGUCACCAUGGCAAACAAACAAGGUCUUGGUCCUGAUGAUCCUGGCAAAGCUAUGGAGAACUUCAUCAUUGACAAUUAUGUUAUUUUAACAAAUAGACUAGAGGUAGAAAAGGUACUCCCGUACCUUAUUCAAUGGCGCAUCUUGUCAAUUGAUGAAAGGGAAAGAAUCCAAAACAAAGAAACGGAGAAAGACAAAGUAGAAGAGCUUUUGGGAACACUAAGUCGUAGUGGAAAAUGCGCACCAGAACAACUGAUAAACAUUCUACAGAGG